GCCUGCCCAGUGACCAUGUGUUCAACGGCCGCGGUAUUCUGACCGCGCGAAGGUAGCGUAAUCACUUGUUUUUUAAAUAAAGACUAGUAUGAAUGGCCGCACGAGGACUUAACUGUCUCCUUUGUCCAAUCAGUGAAACUGAUUUCCCCGUGCAGAAGCGAGGAUGUCCCCAUAAGACGAGAAGACCCUAUGGAGCUUUAAACUAAAUAUCAAUUAUCUUACUCACCCCUCUUUGGAUCAAACAAUCAGCCAAAUCCACUUGAUAUAAGUUUUAGGUUGGGGCGACCAUGGAGAAAAAAAAAUCCUCCCUGAUGACUUCAAACCAAGAGCUACAGCUCUAAAUAUUAAGACACUUAACUCCUAUUGACCCACUUUGUGAUCAACGAACCAAGUUACCCUAGGGAUAACAGCGCAAUCCACUUCAAGAGUCCUUAUCGACAAGUGGGUUUACGACCUCGAUGUUGGAUCAGGGCAUCCCAGUGGUGCAACCGCUACUAAAGGUUCGUUUGUUCAACGAUUAAAGCCC
rnacentral:rRNA from 1 species